UGGGGAAUAUUGCACAAUGGGCGCAAGCCUGAUGCAGCCAUGCCGCGUGUGUGAAGAAGGCCUUCGGGUUGUAAAGCACUUUCAGCGGGGAGGAAGGCGAUAAGGUUAAUAACCUUGUCGAUUGACGUUACCCGCAGAAGAAGCACCGGCUAACUCCGUGCCAGCAGCCGCGGUAAUACGGAGGGUGCAAGCGUUAAUCGGAAUUACUGGGCGUAAAGCGCACGCAGGCGGUCUGUCAAGUCGGAUGUGAAAUCCCCGGGCUCAACCUGGGAACUGCAUUCGAAACUGGCAGGCUAGAGUCUUGUAGAGGGGGUAGAAUUCCAGGUGUAGCGGUGAAAUGCGUAGAGAUCUGGAGGAAUACCGGUGGCGAAGGCGGCCCCCUGGACAAAGACUGACGCUCAGGUGCGAAAGCGUGGGGAGCAAACAGG
rnacentral:rRNA from 1 species